GGGAGUAUAGCUCAGCUGGUUAGAGUGCCUGCAUCACACGCAGGAAGUCGCGGGUUCGAGUCCCUCUAUUCCCACCA
rnacentral:tRNA from 5 species